rnacentral:lncRNA from 1 species
GAUGAUUAAAGGUCCGUUUUUGAUAUUUUUAGGGCCCUAGAUAAAAUAAUAAAAUAAAGUUUUAAGUUUCUUAAAAGUUGGAGAAAUUUUUUUUAAAUCCCUUAAAAGUUGGUAAAAAAAAUUUUGGGCCCUUAAAAGCUUUUUUUUGAGCCCUUUAAAAGUUGGUUAAUUUUUGUUUCUUUUAAAAGUUAAAAAAAAUAUUUUUGAGCCCAUUAAAAAUUAAAAAACAAUAUUUUGAACCCCUUUCAGCCUUGGACCCUAAGCAAUCGCACC